rnacentral:rRNA from 1 species
GAUGAACGCUAGCUACAGGCUUCACACAUGCAAGUCGAGGGGCAGCGCAGUGUAGCAAUACAUGGGCGGCGACCGGCGCACGGGUGCGUAACGCGUAUCCAACCUUCCCGUUACUCAGGGAUAGCCUUCCGAAAGGGAGAUUAAUACCUGAUGGUGUUCAAAUUCCGCAUGUUAUUUGAACUAAAGAUUUAUCGGUAACGGAUGGGGAUGCGUGACAUUAGAUAGUAGGCGGGGUAACGGCCCACCUAGUCUACGAUGUCUAGGGGUUCUGAGGGGAAGGUCCCCCCAACUGGAACGGAGACACGGGCCAGACUCCUACGGGAGGCAGCAGUGAGGAAGAUUGGUCAAUGUUCGGAAGACUGAACCAGCCAAGUAGCGUGAAGGAGGAAGGUUCUAUGGAUUGUAAACUUCUUUUAUACGGGAAUAAAACCUCCCACGUGUGGGAGCUUGUAUGUACCGUAUGAAUAAGCAUCGGCUAACUCCGUGCCAGCAGCCGCCGUAACAC